UGUAGCAAUACAUCACCGGCGGACGGGUGCGUAACGCGUGGGAAUAUACCUUUUGGUUCGGAACAACUGAGGGAAACUUCAGCUAAUACCGAAUGUGCCCUUACGGGGAAAGAUUUAUCGCCAAAGGAUUAGCCCGCGUAGGAUUAGCUAGUUGGUGAGGUAAUGGCUCACCAAGGCUCCGAUCCUUAGCUGUUCUGAGAGGAAGAUCAGCCACACUGGGACUGAGACACGGCCCAGACUCCUACGGGAGGCAGCAGUUGGGAAUCUUGGACAAUGGGGGAAACCCUGAUCCAGCCAUGCCGCGUGAGUGAUGAAGGCCUUCGGGUUGUAAAACUCUUUCGACGGGGACGAUAAUGACGGUACCCGUAGAAGAAGCUCCGGCUAACUUCGUGCCAGCAGCCGCGGUAAUACGAAGGGGGCUAGCGUUGUUCGGAAUUACUGGGCGUAAAGCGCGCGCAGGCGGUCUUUCAAGUCAGUGGUGAAAGCCCGGAGCUCAACUCCGGAAAUGCCAUUGAAACUGUGAGACUUGAGGAUGAGAGAGGUGAGUGGAAUUCCCAGUGUAGAGGUGAAAUUCGUAGAUAUUGGGAAGAACACCGGUGGCGAAGGCGGCUCACUGGCUCAUUUCUGACGCUCAGGCGCGACAGCGUGGGGAUCAAACAGGAUUAGAUACCCUGGUAGUCCACGCCGUAAACGAUGAUUGCUAGCCGUUGGGCAGCUUGCUGUUCAGUGGCGCAGCUAACGCAUUAAGCAAUCCGCCUGGGGAGUACGGCCGCAAGGUUGAAACUC
rnacentral:rRNA from 1 species